ACGAAUGUGUGGUAGGAACUAAAAGUUUCUGAGGAUGUUCUCUGGGUUCAACACAAGUGAUGGACCCUUUGAAGGAGUUACCCUUCUACGAGGCAGAUUUAGAAGCCACACCAGUGAAGUAGCCUAAGUCUAGGGCUCAGAGAAGCCAAGUUUUGGUGACAGCUAAGACACAGCAUGAGGAAGUCACACAACCAAGCCAGCCUUUUGACUUUGACAUUCCAUCUGAUAUGGCAGCAUUGCAGAGGGCUGACCCAUCACUAACAUCAUGGUUUGAGAAGGUUACAGAGAUUGAGGGUGAGAGUCAGGGUACAGCAGGCUGCUUAGCUGAUUUCAGCUAUGUCAUUAAAAACUGCAUUCUGUAUCAGCGUCAAGGUGAUGUUAUGGCCCUAGCUUUACCUCAGAGCCUAACUGAGAAGGUCAUGAGCUAGGUCAUUCCAUCCCAUGGUCAGGCCAUCUAGCUUUCCAGAAAUCAUUGAGUAGAAUCUCCAGGAGAUUUGUGUGGCCAGGAAUGUACACUCAAGUUAAAUUAAAAAAUUAGAUUUUUGUUCCUCCUGUGAGACAUGCCAACUCACCUCACCUAGGGGAGUAGCCCGUUACAGCCAUUACCACUGAUAGAAACUCCUUUUGACAGGAUAGGGAUGGAUGUAGUAGGCCCUCUGGAAUGAAGUAGCACUGGUAAUAGGUACAUCUCAGUGAUUUGUGACUAUGCCAUGCCUUAUCCAGAAGCCUUUCCCCUAAGAUCUAUAAAGGCCAGGUGGGUUGCAGAUUGUCUCAUACAGCUCUUCUCCAGGGUGGGCAUACCUAGGGAGGUACUUACAGACUGUGGCACAAACUUUCUGUCCAGACUUAUGCAGCAGGUAUACAAGUUGCUCGGUGAUAAGGGUAUUAAGACCACCCUAUACCAUCCCCAGAUGGACGGGCUGGUGGAAUGUUUCAACCAGACCCUGAAAAACAUGCUGCGGAAGUUUGUGUCCCACACAGGCUCAGACUGGGAUCAGUGGCUGCCAUACCUGCUGUUUGCCUACCGGGAGGUUCCCCAGGCCUUGACAGGAUUCUCGCCCUUCGAACUUUUCUAUGGGCAAGGUGAGGGGACCACUGUACCUGUUGAGAGAGCAUUGGGAGAGCCCACCAGCGGAGCAGGACAAUGUGGUCAUCUAUGCUUUGAAAAUGAGAGAGAGACUUGGCGAGAUGACUGCUCUAGUCCAAGAGCACAUGAAAGCUGCACAGGCUUACCAGAAGACGUGGUACAACAGGAAGGCCAGGGAAGGAACUUUCCAACCAGGCCAGCAGGUGUUGCUACUCCUCCCUACCAGUGACAGCAAGCUGUUAGCAAGGUGGCAGGGGCCAAACAAAAUCACCAGACAGCUGAGUAAGGUCACCUAUGAACUUUUUUAUGCCAGAGAAACAAAAGAAACGUGAGCAUUUCCACAUUAACCUGCUGAAAGAGUUCCAGGUGCCUUCGCAAUCAAGUCAGCAGCUGCCUGUUCUGCAGCCACAGCAGCCACCAGUCCGCCAGCAGCUCUUCAUCUGUGCCACUGAUGGAUCUGACGAUGAGAGGGAGCAGUCAUUCCCCACUACUGACACAGAGACUGGUUCAGCAGAUGUGUCUCACCUUAAGCCAGACCAGCAGAGGGAGAUAAAGGCACUGUUGGACCCAGAGCUCUUUCAAAUAAGGCCAGGUUUCACAACCCUUGUCAAGCACAAAAUCCAUCUGAAGCCUGAUGCCAUCUCUCGCCGCAAGAGCUACAGGAUUCCUGAGUGUCUGGUCCCGCAGCUGAGAACAGAAAUUGAGUUGACGCUGGAGAUGGGCAUCAUUGAAGAGUCGUCGAGUGAGUGGUGCAGCCCAGUGUUGUUGGUCCCCAAGAAUAACGGUUCGCUGAGACUGUGCAUUGACUUCAGGUACCUUAAUGCAGUUUCAAAGUUUGAGUCCUAUCCCACGCCAAGGAUUGAUGAGCUGCUGGAGAGAGUGGGAAAAGCAAAGUACAUCACAAUGCUUGGCUUCAGUAAAGGUUACUGGCAGCUAGCCCUGGCAGCAGAAUCCAGGGAACUGAUAGCCUUCAGAACACCCUAUGGCAGCUUCCAGUUCAGGGUCAUGCCUUUUGGUCUCCAGGGGGCACCAGCAACCUUCCAGAGGCUGAUUGUCCAGCUUCUGAGAGAGGUGCCACAGUUCGCAGCAGCUUAUCUGGAUGACAUUGUGAUCUACAGCCGGACCUGGAAACAACACCUGGCACACAUCUGGCGGGUCCUUCGCCUGAUUAAAGAUGCUGGCCUAACCAUUAACCCAGGCAAGUCUGUUUUUGCCCAGAAGCAGGUGGAGUACCUUGGCCACAUGGUUAGUCAGGGAGUGGUCAAGCCUCGACUGCUUGGCCAUCCUGGGCGGACACACCAAACUGACAUCAAAGAACUAGCGGCGACGAAAGCCAACCAUUGCAUCGUCUGUGUCAGUUGCAUUUGAACACACCACACGGACUACAUCCGAUGGCCAAGUGGCACGUACGUUCUGCACCUGCGUGAGAGAGAGCGGAGUGUUAGAGUGGUACAUCCUGACAGCCUAUCUGUGCAGCCAAGUACCGCAUCACCUCCACGGACUAUUACAUUCAGUCGGUCCCGGUGUUUCCUCCGCAGGCUCCACUUCACUCAGCUUCACUCAGCUGCCCGAUAAUCCCGCUGCUUCUUCCCACUUUAACCUGAAUAACAAACUAGGGCUCGGUGCUCCGGUUGGAUCCAAAGGGAGAGCCGGGGCUAGCUCAGAGACUAGCGGAGGCUAACUGGCUGUGCGUCCCUCCGUCAUGCCGCGGCUAACGCUCCUCUACACAUUAAAAUUCACCUCAUAUCACACGUUUAUUAUAGAUCCACUUCAUAAAAAUUCAAAUGUGGCAGUGUUAUUUAUAUUUGUGCCAGUGAGCCGGAACUUUUCUAUAAACACUUUUUGAUUGCAAAAGAGGUCACCUUAAAUCUCAAAUACCUGCUCAGUAUUUCAUUAGCGCUGUCACACUAUCACAUUCCCCACCGCCGGAGUGCAGAGGAGAGGGUCGGGGUCAGACUGUAUGCUGCUGACACUUCCAGCUGUGGAGAGCACCAUGCACAGCUGGAUGAUGCCAGGCUGUGGCAAGUGAUAGGAUUCAGGAACGUCUGGCUUUACCCAAUCACCUCAACCAUUGCCGUACUGCACUUCUCACCCAGCACCACUUGCACAGAUCUCAAGGUGCAAUUCUUUUGUUUUGGCCUCCACCUUUAGGUUUGACCUUUUUUAAAAAAAAAAAAAAAAAAAAAAAAGGAAAGUCAGGUGGUGUCCUGCUUGCUGAACUCACUGCAUUAACAGCAGCAGUAACAUGUUUCUACUCGCUGCCUUUUUUUCAGUUUGUGACUCCACUGCCCACCAAAAAAUAGGUUAUGUGCUCUCUGACCUUCAGCUCACCAAAAAGCAACAGUGAUUUCUGCAUCAGGCUUAUGCGUUUUUCUUGGUUUUCCUCUCAGUCGUUGCCAUGAUUUACCGCAAAGAACCAUUGAUCAGUUGGCUCAUGUCUAUGCAUCAGCAUUAAUGAGGUGCUUUGCAUUGACCCUUUAUGGUUGAAUGUUGGCGUGUAGAGAGCGGGAUAUGAGGCUGGUCCAUGUGCAGACAAUUUCAAGUUGAUUUGGGAUUUAUAAAAAGAAACUGCAUACUGGCAGGUGUACAUACAGUUUUAUAAUUCAGAAUAUUGUUUGGCCUACUUAAAUUUCCUCAUUUGUAUGUACGCAAACAGAUAGUGUGGAUUCUCUGCAGAGUUUUAUAAAUGAAGCCCCAGAGCUGUGCACACGGCUCUGCCGCAGAUGAGUAGGCCUUUCUGUGUGUGGGGUGUUUGUUUGUUGUUGUUUUUUUUUUGUGUGUGUGUGUGUGUGUUACACUCAACAUCACCAACAGGCCAGAAGACAACUUAGUAAACAGUAAAAAGUAACAUGGAGCCCUGUGAAAACUUAACAGUGGUUUCUUCUAUCUUACUUAUUUAGUCUUUUUUUUUUUUUUUCAGAUUCCGUGCAGAUUAAUUUGGAACGAUGUUUUAGCACUACUUGGACGGAAACAGAUAGUAUUUUUUUGGUGGCGUGCUAUUGUAUCUCCCCGAUUAAGGGGCUACAAUUAGCAAUAACAAAGGCAAUGUCCAUGCUGCAGUGACUGCAGGUUCAAUUCCAGCCUGCAGCCCUUUGCUGCAUGUCAUCCCCUCUGUCUCUCCCUUUCACACUUAAAUACUGUCAAAUAAAGGCAAAAAGACAAUUUAUAUUUCUUUUUCAUUGUUAGAAUUCUUUAAAAAUGCAGUUGAGCAUUCACCUGAGCGUUGUGUUUCCAUCACUACCAACCAGAGCUGGGGCCGAUGAAUAUUUGUGUUGGGAACAUAAAUUAGGUCUCACACAGCGACACCAGUUAUGUUGGGAACAUAAAUUAGAGGGUGUCACACGGAGGCACCAAUAAAGUUGUAAACUGGAAAUUUGGAAAUAAUUAAUAAUUAUUAAUAAUAAUUAAUAAUUAUGUUAAAUAAUGUGACUUAAUUAACAUUAAAUCACCUCGUGGGGCACCAUUCCCGUAAAGGGGAAAGGGGGAUAGCCAGUUAAAGAUAUCAGUCUCAUAAAAUACGAUAAACUAUUAGUUUGGAGUUUUGAUUAAUAAUUAAAUUAAUGACAGUAACCAAAAUUAACAGUAAAGACUGAAGGAUUUCGGAGUUCUUAAUGCAGCAGAGGUUGACUAUUCAUUCACCCUUGUGCAACAUUAAACAGACAGCAGGUAUGAUUCCAAAGAAUUAUAUGUAUUCACAAACUAGCAAAGCAAAGCAAAACACACAAAUUCUCAAAUUCUAACUAACUAUAUAUGAGCCUGGCGGGCUCACGGCUCCGGCUCACGGAGAAGAGUAAGGACGUAAGCGUGGCAGCCAUCUAGUGCUAACUUAACAGGAAAGCAGGGAAAUAGCUAAACACAGCAGAGACUGAGAGUGAGUGAAAGACAUCGCUAACUGCUAAACUAAGUUGGCUGUUUAGGUUUUAUUUCCUCGCCCCUGUGGCGAGUGAAUCUGCCUGUAGUGAAACUGGGGCUAACCGGUGCUUCUUCCUCAUGCUCCACUUCACUCAGUUGCCAGCACAGCCAAUUAGCCCCCGCUAGCCUCCCAGCUAGCGGGGGCUAACCAGUGCUUCCUCCUCAGGCUCCACUUCACUCAGCUGCCAGCACAGCCAGUUAGCCUCCGCUAGCUCCCCAGCUAACGUUAGCCCCAACUCUCCGUUUGGAUCCAACCGGAGCACCAAGCCCUGGUUUGUUAUUCAGGUUAAUGUAGGAAGAAGCAGCGGGAUUAUCGGGCAGCUGAGUGAAGUGGAGCCUGCAGAAGAAACACCGGGACCGUCUGGAUGUAAUAGUCCGUGGAGAUGCUGCGGUGCUCAACUGCACAGAAGAGGCUCAGUCCCUGACCCCUCCAGACUACAACCUGCGCUGGUCAGGUCUGAUUGUUACAGUGGGUGAGGUCCUGGAGCGCAGCCUGCCCAACAUCAACAGUACAGACUGGCAUCAGACCAUGACGGGCAUGACCCUUCG